rnacentral:lncRNA from 1 species
AUCCGUUCCUUAUCUCUUUGGCUACCUUUUUCUUUUAGAUUUGAAAACACUAUCACAUUCAAACUAACCCACAUAUAUGUUGGGAUGACUCUUCGAUCGGCAACAGUUUAUAUCAAUUUAGAUUCCUUCUUUGCCCACGAAACCUCAAUUUCAUUAACCACGACCGUCGCACGUCCGUUCAUCACCGUAAACUCCGUCACCUGAAGCCUCCGAUCUGCAACAAGUUGCGGUUCGACGACUUUGACAGCCUCCGCACAACUACAUCCACCGUGAGCCGGCUUUAAUUUGGAACCAUCAUACCCCGCCUUUCUGCCACCGCGAACUAGCUCGUUGUCGUCGCGAACCAGAUUCAGCCACCUCACGUGUUCGUGUAUCACCGCUCUUGUCUCAGCUCUAAUUUGUUUGGGUUCAACAACUAAGGUACGAACCCAUCUCCUGACCGAUACGAUUGUGGGCGAUCUUGAUGUAGUUGUCGAACUGUUACGGCGGAAAUAUAAUAUAUAAUUAAAUGGUUGAUUUUGUUUUCUAAAUUCAAACCUACUGUUUUGGACCUAUGAAACUAAUAAUUUGGAGUUGGUAAUUCAAAUUAACUUGGGUUUUGAAAUUCUGAUGUUUUAAGAUAUCUCCGCCAUUGUAAGCGUUUUGACAAUUAAUUUGGUACCGGCAAUUAAGAACCAUAUUAGUUAAUUAUUUGACCCUUGAACCUAAGUUAGAAUAAACCUUUUUACUGUAUUGGAAAACCUUGUAUAUACAGGUUUGGUAAGAGUUGGGUUAACUCUCUGUUUGGUUGUUUAUUCGGCUAGAAUAUCACAAACACCUUGUGAUUCAUUAGUAGUUAGGAUUAUUUUGUCAAAAUAAGGUUUUAUUUAUAAACAAAAUAUAUUAGUUUGAAAAGCAAUGAAGAAAAUACUUGCUUCAUAGUUUAUGAGCAGUGGCGGACCCAAGAAUUUUUCCAUGGGGGUGCGAAACAUUUUUAAAAAUUUUAGGCCCCUAGGUAUAUAAGUAAAAAAAUCGGUUCGUAUCGGGUCGGGUCAUGUAAAACAAAAGAAAUUGCGCCAUAACGUCCCUACUCAUGGUUCCUAUCACAAACAAAUUGAUGCAUUAGUUCAUCGCUCCAUAAAAUAAUGUUUCAAUUUUAAUUUUCAACCCUAGAAAUCGUGUGUAACCACCCUAAAAAUCAUCUAAACAACAUAAUCACCCUAAAAAUCAUCUAAACAACCAUAAACAACGUCAAAACACAUGAAAUUUCAAACCUAUUUAAGAAUUUUGUUACCCUUUGGUGUCGGACGGCGGUGGUUCGCGGCUGCUGAUGACGUGCUGUUGUGGUCGAUGAUCGCUGGUAGGAGACGACCCAAGAGAGGGAGGGCGGGAUGAAUUCUAAGGGACUAUUGGGCUUAUUUUAAUUAUUAUACUUUGAACUUAGGUUGAGUUUGGUUGAUGGGCUAGUAAUUAGUGGGCUAAUUAUGUUUAAUGAAAUAGUGGGUUAAGGUAUUGGGUAUUUGGGUUAAGUUGGGUAGUAUAAGUUUAUAUAAUUUAGGUAGUUUUUUUAAUUAGAGUUUACUAAAAAAAUUUAAAAUAUAAAUUGAAAACAUUUUUUACCUAAGGUGUGUGGACGAAAAAUUACAAGGGGUGCGGAUGAAAAAAUUCAAGGGGUGCGGACGAAAAAAUCCAAGGGGUGCGCACGGGAUUUUCAACGGAAAAUAGCACUAAAUUUUUUUUUUCCCGGGGGUGCGCCCGCCCACCUUGGGCUAUAUGUAUGUCCGCCCCUGUUUAUGAGUUUAGUAUUUAUAUUUUUUUAGAACGUUAAGAAUAGAUAUAUGAAUUUAGAAAAAGAAAAGGUCUAAUUAAUUGGGUUCAAGUUCUAGUCGCCCGGAAACUAGAACGAAUCAAGUAAUGUUCAUAAAACUGAUUUUGGUUGUAACGGGAUUAUAGGUUCUUGAUUUUCGAGAUCGACUUGACUAAUUGGUCUUGCUUUGCUUGCUACAAGACUUGUCGUUGGGGCGUCAACGACAUGGCACUCAUCGUGACGGUAAUUUGGGAAACGUGGGGAAUAAGUGAAGAGUGUCGUGAAGAUAAAGAUUUAUUGUAUUUCGGUAAUGUAAAAAAAUGUAAUUAGGAUCUUUUGUUUUCAACGUUAUGGAUUGGUUUUAGUU